rnacentral:rRNA from 1 species
AUGAACGCUGGCGGCGUGCCUAAUACAUGCAAGUCGUGCGAACGGACGAGAAGCUUGCUUCUCUGAUGUUAGCGGCGGACGGGUGAGUAACACGUGGAUAACCUACCUAUAAGACUGGGAUAACUUCGGGAAACCGGAGCUAAUACCGGAUAAUAUUUUGAACCGCAUGGUUCAAAAGUGAAAGACGGUCUUGCUGUCACUUAUAGAUGGAUCCGCGCUGCAUUAGCUAGUUGGUAAGGUAACGGCUUACCAAGGCAACGAUGCAUAGCCGACCUGAGAGGGUGAUCGGCCACACUGGAACUGGAACACGGUCCAGACUCCUACGGGAGGCAGCAGUAGGGAAUCUUCCGCAAUGGGCGAAAGCCUGACGGAGCAACGCCGCGUGAGUGAUGAAGGUCUUCGGAUCGUAAAACUCUGUUAUUAGGGAAGAACAUAUGUGUAAGUAACUGUGCACAUCUUGACGGUACCUAAUCAGAAAGCCACGGCUAACUACGUG